rnacentral:lncRNA from 1 species
CACACCCAAACAGUAGAUGGAGUUCAGGGAGUCUUACAGAGAGCUGGAGAGAAAUUGAGGGACCUGAAGAAGACAGGGGCUCUACAGGAAAAUUAACAGAGAAGAAGCCACAAAUGAAGAGGAACAAAAUGUAAAAAGGGGAAAGGGUGCUUCCAGUCAUGGGAGCAUGGCUACCUUUGAAAGGACCAGGCCAUGGCUGCCUGAGAAGUGACCUGGCUAUGGCUGCCAGAGAAAGGACAAGAUCAUCACUACCUGAGAAAGGACAAGGUCAGAGAUCCAUUUGGCUGUAGCUUACAGUGAAUGGAGCAAAGAUCCCUGGAUGACCCACUGACCUGAUCACCAGUGACCUUGAAUCUACUCACAUUCUUACCUUGUUCUACUUUCUCAUCAAAGAGCCGAAAUGGCUAAAAAGGGGGCAGAGGCUAUCCUGACAAGAGCCAAGACUCCUGGUUUAAUUUAAAUA